GUCUUUUAAUUGAAGUCUGGAAUGAAUGGUUUGAUGAAAAAUUUACUUUCUUUAUUUUAAAAAAAUAAUUUGAUUUUUUAAUUAAAAAGUUAAGAUGAAAUUAUAGGACGAGAAGACCCUAUAGAACUUUAUUUCUACUUUAUUAAGUAGAAUUUUGAUAAUUAAUUUCUAUUUAUAGAAAGAAAUUUUGUUGGGGUGAUAAAAAAAAUUUUUUAACUUUUUUUCAUGUUAUCAUUUAUAUAUGAUUUUUUGAUCCUUUAUUAUGGAAAAUAAGAUUAAGUUACCUUAGGGAUAACAGCGUUAUUAUUUUAGAGAGUUCAUAUUGAUAAAAUAGUUUGCGACCUCGAUGUUGGAUUAAAAUAAGUUUCAGGAGUAGAAGAUUGAGAAUCUAGGUCUGUUCGACCUUUAAAUUUUUACA
rnacentral:rRNA from 1 species